rnacentral:rRNA from 1 species
AGCGAACGCUGGCGGCAGGCCUAACACAUGCGAGUCGAACGGAUCCUUCGGGAUUAGUGGCGGACGGGUGAGUAACACGUGGGAACGUGCCCUUUGGUUCGGAACAACUCAGGGAAACUUGAGCUAAUACCGGAUGUGCCCUUCGGGGGAAAGAUUUAUCGCCAUUGGAGCGGCCCGCGUCUGAUUAGCUAGUUGGUGAGGUAAAGGCUCACCAAGGCUACGAUCAGUAGCUGGUCUGAGAGGAUGAGCAGCCACAUUGGGACUGGGACACGGCCCAAACUCCUACGGGAGGCAGCAGUGGGGAAUCUUUCGCAAUGGGCGAAAGCCUGACGCAGCCAUGCCGCGUGAAUGAUGAAGGUCUUAGGAUUGUAAAAUUCUUUCACCGGGGACGAUAAUGACGGUACCCGGAGAAGAAGCCCCGGCUAACUUCGUGCCAGCCGCCGCGGUAACAC